rnacentral:rRNA from 1 species
GACGAACGCUGGCGGCGUGCUUAACACAUGCAAGUCGAACGGAAAGGCCCUGCUUUUGUGGGGUGCUCGAGUGGCGAACGGGUGAGUAACACGUGAGUAACCUGCCCUUGACUUUGGGAUAACUUCAGGAAACUGGGGCUAAUACCGGAUAGGAGCUCCUGCUGCAUGGUGGGGGUUGGAAAGUUUCGGCGGUUGGGGAUGGACUCGCGGCUUAUCAGCUUGUUGGUGGGGUAGUGGCUUACCAAGGCUUUGACGGGUAGCCGGCCUGAGAGGGUGACCGGCCACAUGAGGACUGAGAUACGGCCAAGACCCCUCCGGGAGGCAGCGGGGGGGAAUAUGGAACAAGGGGCGGAAGCCUGAUGCAGCACCGCCGCGUGGGGGAGGACGGCUUUCGGGUUGUAAACCGCUUUCGCCUGUGACGAAGCGUGGGGGCGGUAAUGGGUAAAGAAGCACCGGCUAACUACGUG